UCGACAGCUAUUGUAUACAGCAUAGUAAUGUUUAAACAUUAUAUCUGUUAUAUAAUUUAGAUGCUCUACUGAGUACUGUGUAACUUUUACUCAGUUUAACUUUUCAGUUUUAAGAGAACGUUUAUAUUAUAACUAUAAGUUAAUGAUUGUCAUGAGUAUAUCAUACGAUUUAUGUCAAAUAAUAUAUUAGUACUUCACAUUGCUGUGUUUUGUGCAUACUAUUUGUUUGUUUUAGAGCAAAGCAAUAUUGGGCUACCUACUGUUUCCACUGUGGGGGAAUCUAAUCCCGGAUUUUAGAAUUCCUUUCUGAAAGCCAAGAUACAUAGCACCAGUUGAAAAAAUUCUUCUCUCAAUAAAUAUACUCUUUAAUGAAACCCAGAUUAGAAAGAGUAGUACAUAUUGACUGAAGAACUGUAACUUCUAUCAUCUACUUAUCAAAGCAAGUGGUUUCUUAGGUUAGAAGAUGGCAGAAAAAAUUAAUGGGUAAGUACAAUUUCAUAGAAAACAGUUA